UCAGAUUUUAUAAUAAAAAAAGAAAAACAAGGAACCCUAUUUCAGACUUCUAUUUAAAUUUAAAAAGAGCAUGUUUACUAAUUUGUAAGUAUACCUACUGAUGUAGUAGUACACUACUAAAAGUGAUCACCAAUUUUCCAAUUUCUGGGGUGAGGUGUGUAGUGUUUCUUGAUGCUUAGAGGAGGUGGCUUUCACUUAUUCUGUAUUUUUUCACAGAUGAUCUAAGAGAAUGAAUAGGAACGUCCAAGUAAUGUAAGUGAUUUAGAGGCUCCCUGACUAGACUCAGUUUUCCCUUUAUCAUGAGCCCAAUUACCCAGUUAGUGUCUUUAUAAUCCAUGGCAUUUCUUGAACAGAGUCUAAUAGAGCUACAAUUAUCAGAAUAUAAAGUUUGCUUAAUGUGAGAUUUUAAGCUUGUGACAUCUUUCAAGUUACCUAUUUACAGGAUCAGAAGGAAAAGCAUCCAGAACCAGAGGUGGAAGAAGCAAAAUGGCUCUCUCUGCAGGGGGAACCAGAGGAUCCAGCAGCAGGCAGAAGUAAAAGCCUGGAAGCUCGCUGCAGAGCCACCUGGACCAAUGAAGAAUCCCCCUUCAGCUUGACACAGCCACAAGGAUAUGGCUAUAUCCAUCAAGAAUAAGGAAUCAAGGCCGGUGGAGGGUGAGGUAGCAUCAGAGAACGAAGCACGUGCAGAAUUAGUAUGAGAGCUAGGGUCACUGCACAGAAGCUUCUGGACCUGUUUAUGACCCCUCUUUUCACAGAAACUCCAUG